rnacentral:pre_miRNA from 1 species
UAUUGUGUUCUCAAUCGAGUUGCGACGUCAAGAGGUCAAACUCCGCUCACUAUUUUUUCACGCGAACAUUAAAUUUUAGUGAAUUUUGAAUUUUUGCGUGAAAAAAAGUGGGCGGAGUUUGACCUCUUGACGUCGCAACUCGAUUGAAAACACAAUA